rnacentral:rRNA from 1 species
UACGUAGGGUGCAAGCGUUGUCCGGAAUUAUUGGGCGUAAAGAGCUUGUAGGCGGUUUGUCGCGUCUGCUGUGAAAUUUCGGGGCUCAACCCCGAACUUGCAGUGGGUACGGGCAGACUAGAGUGUGGUAGGGGAGACUGGAAUUCCUGGUGUAGCGGUGAAAUGCGCAGAUAUCAGGAGGAACACCGAUGGCGAAGGCAGGUCUCUGGGCAUUAACUGACGCUGAGGAGCGAAAGCGUGGGGAGCGAACAGG